GCGGCAAUGGCCGAGUGGUUUUAAGUGCGCUGGAUUUGAAAUCUGGAGGUCCUUGGUUCAAAUCCUCCACCCUAGCUGGAUUUGCU